rnacentral:rRNA from 1 species
GAACUUAAGCAUAUCAAUAAGCGGAGGAAAAGAAACCAACAGGGAUUGCCUUAGUAACUGCGAGUGAAGCGGCAAAAGCUCAAAUUUGAAAUCUGGCGUCUUUGGCGUCCGAAUUGUAAUUUGGAGAGGCAACUUCGGAGAUGGUGCUGUCCUAAGUUCCUUGGAACAGGAUGACAUAGAGGGUGAGAUCCCCGUGCCUGGAUGGCUGUCCAUCUUCAUGUGAAUUGCCUUCGAAGAGUCGAGUUGUUUGGGAAUGCAGCUCAAAAUGGGUGGUAAAUUUCAUCUAAAGCUAAAUAUUGGCGAGAGACCGAUAGCGCACAAGUAGAGUGAUCGAAAGAUGAAAAGCACUUUGAAAAGAGAGUUAAAAAGUACGUGAAAUUGUUGAAAGGGAAGCGCUUGAGACCAGACUCGAUUCGUGGUGAUCAGCUGUGCUUCUGUACGGUGCACUCGCCAUGGAUUGGGCCAGCAUCGGUUCUGACGGUGGGAUAAAAGGUUGAGGAAUGUGUCUUCCUUCGGGGAGUGUUAUAGCCUCACUCACAAUGCCACCAGCUGGGACCGAGGACCGCGCUUCGGCUAGGAUGCUGGCGUAAUGGUCUUAAGCGACCCGUCUUGAAACACGGACCAAGGAGUCUAACAUCUAUGCGAGUGUUCGGGUGGAAAACCCUUGCGCGUAAUGAAAGUGAACGGAGGUGGGAACCCGCAAGGGUGCACCAUCGACCGAUCCCGAUGUCUUCGGAAGGAUCUGAGUAAGAGCAUAGCUGUUGGGACCCGAAA